rnacentral:rRNA from 1 species
UGAGGAAUAUUGGUCAAUGGGCGAGAGCCUGAACCAGCCAAGUAGCGUGCAGGACGACGGCCCUAUGGGUUGUAAACUGCUUUUAUAAGGGAAUAAAGUGAGUCUCGUGAGACUUUUUGCAUGUACCUUAUGAAUAAGGACCGGCUAAUUCCGUGCCAGCAGCCGCGGUAAUACGGAAGGUCCGGGCGUUAUCCGGAUUUAUUGGGUUUAAAGGGAGCGUAGGCCGGAGAUUAAGCGUGUUGUGAAAUGCCGCGGCUCAACCGUGGCACUGCAGCGACG